rnacentral:rRNA from 1 species
AAAGGUGCUUGCACCUUUCAAGUGAGUGGCGAACGGGUGAGUAACACGUGGACAACCUGCCUCAAGGCUGGGGAUAACAUUUGGAAACAGAUGCUAAUACCGAAUAAAACUUAGUGUCGCAUGACACAAAGUUAAAAGGCGCUUCGGCGUCACCUAGAGAUGGAUCCGCGGUGCAUUAGUUAGUUGGUGGGGUAAAGGCCUACCAAGACAAUGAUGCAUAGCCGAGUUGAGAGACUGAUCGGCCACAUUGGGACUGAGACACGGCCCAAACUCCUACGGGAGGCUGCAGUAGGGAAUCUUCCACAAUGGGCGAAAGCCUGAUGGAGCAACGCCGCGUGUGUGAUGAAGGCUUUCGGGUCGUAAAGCACUGUUGUAUGGGAAGAACAGCUAGAAUAGGAAAUGAUUUUAGUUUGACGGUACCAUACCAGAAAGGGACGGCUAAAUACGUGCCAGCAGCCGCGGUAAUACGUAUGUCCCGAGCGUUAUCCGGAUUUAUUGGGCGUAAAGCGAGCGCAGACGGUUUAUUAAGUCUGAUGUGAAAGCCCGGAGCUCAACUCCGGAAUGGCAUUGGAAACUGGUUAACUUGAGUGCAGUAGAGGUAAGUGGAACUCCAUGUGUAGCGGUGGAAUGCGUAGAUAUAUGGAAGAACACCAGUGGCGAAGGCGGCUUACUGGACUGCAACUGACGUUGAGGCUCGAAAGUGUGGGUAGCAAACAGGAUUAGAUACCCUGGUAGUCCACACCGUAAACGAUGAACACUAGGUGUUAGGAGGUUUCCGCCUCUUAGUGCCGAAGCUAACGCAUUAAGUGUUCCGCCUGGGGAGUACGACCGCAAGGUUGAAACUCAAAGGAAUUGACGGGGACCCGCACAAGCGGUGGAGCAUGUGGUUUAAUUCGAAGCAACGCGAAGAACCUUACCAGGUCUUGACAUCCUUUGAAGCUUUUAGAGAUAGAAGUGUUCUCUUCGGAGACAAAGUGACAGGUGGUGCAUGGUCGUCGUCAGCUCGUGUCGUGAGAUGUUGGGUUAAGUCCCGCACGAGCGCACCCU